rnacentral:tRNA from 1 species
GCCGUGGUGGUGGAACUGGCAGACACGUAGUCUUGAGGGGGCUAUGCUCAAAUGAGCGUGCGGGUUCGAGUCCCGCCCACGGCACCA